UCCUACUGACCUUUGCAGGGGAUCGUCUUUAAUGAGAGUUUCUGCCCUUGGCUCCUCGUCUUGCCGGCAGGCCCCAAGGGAAGGGAAAAGAAGGCAGCGAGUCCUUAAAGAGGCUGGCUAGAGGUUUCAUGGAUACAUUCCUCACCUUCUGGAAACUAUAUGCAAGACUAGAACAGAAGAUCCUGGAGGGCAAUGGCAUAACAAAACCUGCUGACUCCAAGACCCUGAUCUUGUGAAAAUGUCUGUGCAUUUUCUUGUUUCCUUUUCUUUUCCUUCUUUCUUUCUUUCUUUUUUUUUUUUUUUUUUUUUUCUUCGUGACCGGCACUCAGCCAGUGAGUGCACCGGUCAUUCCUAUAUAGGAUCCGAACCCGCGGCGGGAGCGUCGCUGCGCUCCCAGUGUAGCACUCUACCGAGUGCGCCACGGGCUCGGCCCUUCCUUCUUUCUUUUAAUUUUUUUUUUUCUUUUCUCUUUUGCUACUAGGAAGGGAAUUUUAGCAAAGUAGUUAUAUUUUAACACAAAGAGCCCUGAAUUGGGAGCUGUGAAGCGUGGCCCCAACACUGACUAGCUGUGCAACUUUGGGGAAGUCAGUUACAGUCUCUAGGCCUCCACUUUUUAUGUGCCAGCCACUAUUAGUCCUGAACAAGAAAGAGAAAGUCUCUACUUUCAUAGAAUUCAUAAUAAAUGGAGGUGGCGUUAGGGAAACAAAAUUCUAGAUAAUGAUUAAGUGCUAUUAAUAGAAUAAAACAGAACAGUGUGAUACAGCCUGAAGGUAGGACUACUUUAGAUAAGGUGAUUGUGGAUGGCCUCUCAGAAGUUGACAUUUGAGCUGAGACUUGGAUGAUGAGAAGGAACCAGCCAUGUGAAGAGACCUGGAAACGUGGUUACCAUAUUAGCACAGAUGUAGGACAUUUUCAUCAUCACAGACAGUUCUGCUAGACAAUGCUGUAUGACAUUAUUACUGGAAAGCCCUAUUCUAUAAGCAUUUAAUCCUUCCGUCUUCCUGAGGAAUCUCAAAAUUUCUCCUAAAUCUUUUCUUCUGGUCUAAAGAAGGAUUGGAUGCUUCCAUUUCAGACAUUAUCACAUACUAGAUAUAUUGAAAACAAGUUGGCUUCAAAACACCUAAAUAUUCUGGAUGCAAAAUCGAAAAAUCCUGAGCUCUCAAGAAAAUAAAAUUUUCAGAAACCAAAA